rnacentral:rRNA from 1 species
GACGAACCGUGCGAACGUUAUUCGGAAUCACUGGGCUUAAAGCGCGUGUAGGCGGUAUGAGCACGUCUGUCGGCUGAAAUCCCCCGGCUCAACCGGGGAACGGGCGGAGAUACGGCGUCAUCUGGAGGGGCGUAGGGGGACCUGGAACUUCCGGUGGAGCGGUGAAAUGCGUAGAUAUCGAGAGGAACACCUGCGGCGAAGGCGGGUUGCUGGGCUGACACUGACGCUGAGGCGCGAAAGCCAGGGGAGCGAACGGG